rnacentral:rRNA from 1 species
UACGUAGGGUCCGAGCGUUGUCCGGAAUUACUGGGCGUAAAGCGCGCGCAGGCGGCUUCCCAAGCGCCACGUGAAAGCCCCGGGCUCAAUCCGGGAGGGUCGCGGCGAACUGGGAGGCUUGAGGCCGGUAGAGGUGGGUGGAACUCCUGGUGGAGUGGUGAAAUGCGUAGAGAUCAGGAAGAACACCCGUGGCGAAGGCGGCCCACUGGGCCGGUGCUGACGCUGAGGCGCGAAGGCGUGGGGAGCGAACGGG